rnacentral:lncRNA from 1 species
GUGUCACAGGCCGCGCGCUUUUUCCGGGUACUAGAACACAGUCCCGCUUACAGGGCCUCAGCCUAAAGCGGGUGGAAAACUUGUAUCACCCCCCUACACACACACACACACACACACACACACACACACACACACACACACAGCCCAGUCCUACCACCAGGCGCGACCGUCCCCUCCCUCUCCAGACGGAAGGGGCCAGGUUAACGCAGCCGCGCGCCCGCCGGGCAGGUUAGGUUCUCGGGGGCCUAGAAGGGAAAGGGGUUAACUAAUGUGUGCGAUGCGUGUGCAGAUGACAAAAUUUAGGGCACGUAGAGUUUGCCCGGCCCCACCGCGUCCGCUCGCGGGGACCCUCGGGGGCCGGGCCCCAUGGGGCCGGGGCAGCACGGUGUAGCCCCUCCUCCGGCCGGGCGCGAGCGUCUGCAGAACAAAGCCUGGAGUCCAGCCCCGGCCCCGGCGCGGCCGCCCCUCAACCAACCCCCAGGCGGCAAGGCCCUCUCCACGCGCGCUCUCCAGCCUGGCGGGGCCCUGGAAGCCGGGACACGCGGAGGCCGGGAGGGUCAUCGGCGUUUAAGGCAGCCUCCCACACCAAGUGCACCGCCCGGAUCCCCUCUGCACGAGGGCUUUCUGCUUAUUGCUCUUUUCCCCAGCAGCCAGAAUCGUCACCGUAGCGCGGGAAGGGGCCUCGCGGGCCGUCUGCAGCAGGAUUCCUGCGGAGCUGUAUUUACUUUACAUCCAUGUGAACUGCUGUCAUCACUACUGUGUCCAAGCCCAGAGGAUGAACUGGAAAAGAAGAGAGGGGGAAAAUAAUAAAAAGAGGAAAUUGGUUUUCACAACACACUCAAAGCCUGAGUAACAGAGGAGAACUUUAAUUAUCUCCAGUCACAAAGAGAGACAGGAAAUUUGGACUUUUAAUUAGCCAUUUGGAGUGCAGUUGGGUAUUUUUUUAGCUAGAUAAUUUAAACGCGAAUAAUUCAAGUCUGACUAAAUGAAAGUCACAUAAUCAGAAUGCAAAUAAUUGAAUUUCUACUGCAUUCAUUAAUUCAGUGUGGAGGUGUGUGUGAAGACUACUAUGAUGAGCUGUCACAGCUCAAUAAAAUCUCAGUCAAUUAAUUUUUUCAUUAUCUUAGUAUUAUAUCAACAAAAAAGUGAAGUGUGUAUAUAUAUCUAUACACGUGCAUAUGUGCAUACUAUGUAUUAUAUAAAUACAUAUACAUUAAAUCAAAAUGCAAGGAAAUACCUUUCUGAAUCAUAAUCUAUAUCAUUUUCUUUUUUUCCUUCUUCAUCUUCUUCAGGGAAACGUCUAUUCAUUAAGGCAAACUUGUGAAUUGCUUCUUCCACAGAGUACUUAGUCUGCCCAGAAACACACGCCUCAAUGUCUUCUGAAUUCAGAUGGCUCUGUAAGAAGAGGUGAAGGCUGCUAUCUGAAAGCAAAAGUGCAUUCUGUAGGACUCUAUAUUAAAAAAAAAAGGAAAAAUAAUUGGUGAACAGGAUGGUCAGUGAUAGGGUAGAAGAAAGAAAAACAUUAGAAAAGUACCACUGAAGGUAAUUUCUCUACUGUGGUAAACUUUGUAUCAAUUAUGGGCUCUGCCCAUUAAGGGGAGGAAAGCAUAUGUUAACUUUUAUUCAAUUAUUUGGAAAUUUAGGUGGGUAAAAACAUGAAGCUAAUAGUUAAGAACAUCUGUUAAAAGAAUAACUUCAAGGACAUUUCUUCAAUUUACCCAUCUCUUAUUACCAUGUGGAUUAAUUAUGGAAAUAUUUUGCUUAUAUAGUCAUAGAAAGUUAUUCUACUUUAAAAAAUUUACUGCCAACAGCAUGUCAAUUCAGUGAUCUUUAUGGGAUAGGCUGUCAUGAAACAUCAAAACUUUCAACUACUAUUAAAAAUUAUAUGAAGAAAAUACAAUUCUCAGCAUAUUUUACAUUUUAAAACUUUACAGUUAUAUACUUAAGGGCAUGUUUACGACAGCUCAUGAGAGAGAUGGCUUUUUUUAAUACUUAAGGUUAACUGUAAAUUUCUCCAAAAUCUUUAGGAGCACUGAAUCUCUGUGUUGUCAAAAUGAGCAACCAAAUAAAAUUGAUCCCAGCCAACUUUACCAUAUAUAUAAUUAAAAUAUGAUAAUUUUGUGAUGAAUACAUACUGCUCUUCCCACAUUUAAGAUCAAAGUUUACAAAGACAGAACAGAUUUCAACCAGGGCAUCAGAACUACAUGGAAGAUUAAAAACUAUCCUGUAGCAAAAUCUACAGAUGCUCAAAUUCAUAUUAGUGAAUGUGUUUUCUCUGAAAUGCACAUCUUAGAAUAUGAAAUCAAAUCAAAGUAUACCUUUAUAUUUAAAUAAAAACUGGUUUAUCUUUUAGCAAAGAUGUUGACAUAUGAUCAUUUAGUCUCUACUGAUAGUUCAAUAAUUAUGUAAGAGGAGACACUAAGACCAGAUACAGGGGACAAAACUAACACACUAAAACCCAAGUAGAAUUUUGUCCAACAUAAGAUUUUUCCGAUAUAACGAUCUGUGAAAAAUAGAUCAUGUAUUUCAGACCAAAUGAACCUUACCUUAUAUUCUGCUUGUUUAAACAAGUAAUAAGGAAAGUAAAUCUCUUUUGGCCAUUAAUAUCAAUUUAGUGAAAAUCCAAGGUCAUUAUAAUACCAAAUCCUUUUCUACAAAAUAAAACAAUUAUUUCUUAACAAAGGCAAAAAUGCCUAAAAAUGCACAGUAUUAAAACCAAAAUCUAGCUGUCCCCUUUGCUUCAGCAGGUUUACAGUUUGAGAAAAUAUUCUUUACUGGUCUAUUAGAAGGAAAAGUAAAACCUUUGUGCUUUUUAAAAGGCAAAACCUCAAGCAAAGCAGCUAAAUCCUUCUUUUUCCCUCUGUGUCCUCCGCCCUGGGUCCUCCCAAAAGAUGACCAUGUCACAUGAUAAUGAUUAAUUUACCAAGUACAAGUAGCUAAGUAGUAAAUCCCUCUUACUACUCUUUGAGAUUUAUUUUCUACAUUUACAAAUAUUCACCAUUCUUGUUUUUAAAUACUUCAGAUUAAGAGAAGAGUUAUAGAGCAACAAUCCAUUAAUACGAACUUGGAUCGUGAAGUCUGUGAAGUCUGAGCAGAGUGUUUCCUGUGGCCUCUGUCAGCGGUUUCCUGCCUGCCAUAAGUACAAGGAACUGUUCAUGGGAUUGUACUCGUGGCUUUGUUUCUGUUGGAAAUGUGUUUUAUUUUCUUUAUAAAAUAAUGGGUAAUCUUUAAAAUUGAUUUUAGAUGGUUUGAGGCAUUACACCACAACAGUAAUGAGCACUAAUGCCAAUGAUAUUGGACACAAAUUCAUUUUAGCUUUAUUUCAUGUCUGAAGCAAUUCUACUGAGCCUUGAACUGCUCACGUGUUGUUAUUAACUUGCUAGUAACUUAACACAUGGGUACAGCAAACAAAAGUGAUCAGAGUCCAGGUUGAUCGGGACCUCAAGGCUACUGUCCUUUUUCUUGAGCUAUAAUUCAAUUUCCAAUUUUACUGUACAUUAGACUCAUUAUUUCCCAGCGUUUUCUUUUUCUGCUCAAUACUGCCAUCUGGAGGACACACAGAUGAAAAGAGAAGGAGCCAGGCUCACCCAGCUCACAAUUCCAAAGAGCCAGAAAGAUGUGGCUGGGGAGGGGACAUCUGAACACUCCCCCAGGCCUAGAGUUCAAACCAGUGAGUCGGCUAGGUACAGUUUUGGUUUUUGGAAUCUCCUCUGUUUCUCUGGCUAAAUUCAUGCCACCAUACUCCAUGAGUUUUAAAUAAGCAAAAAUAAUUUUUAAAUGUAUUUAUAUGCUUAUUUUAGUCAGAUAGUUCAUUCUGAAAUUUAAAAUGAAAAUUUUUGAGAGUGUUUUCCCAUCUGGUUAGGUGAGCAUAAUUAAUUUAUUUUGAGUACUAUUUGGCUUACUAUCAGAGAGGGCUGUGACUGCCACCAUCAUAAUAUUAAAUACUAUUUUUUCCUUAGUCAUGUUUGUGCCAUAUUUUCCACAAACAAAUCUAAUAGCCCAAAAUCAAUUUCAAACCUAAUAUAAAGAGUACUUUGUAAAACAGUCAAUAAAAUGUCAUUUGUAGAAACCUCCAUUUAAAAAGUAUAUGAUUUUCAAACCUUUAUAAAAGGAAUAAAAAAUAGCCUCUAGGAUUUUAAAAGAAUUUCUAGAAAGAUAUUUAUAGUGCAAAUCAGAAGUUAUUCCUUUCCCCAUAACAGUUUUAGACUAAACAAAGCAAAAUCUGUUUUUUUUCCCUAAACUGGACACAGUUGAAAAGCACAGUUUUCCUCAACAUGAUUUUAUUAGAUGUAUUAUAUGCUGGUUUAGCUGAGAAUAUAUAGCUAUGCAAAAUCAUUUCAUCCUAACUAAGGAUGUCCUGGGUCUGCUGAACCCAAUACAAUGAUAUAUAUACAUAACUGCAUAGUACAUGGAAGGUUAGCAGUUUGAUGUAGAAAAAAAAAAUUAACUCAGCCUGUUUAGCUCUUACUAUAAGAAAAAAUAAAACCUACAAAUCUUCAUUGAAGACAUUCAUGAUCUAUGCUGUGGUGCCCUCUAUUGAACACAAAGACAUAAAAAUCGUGUGUGUGUAAAACUAGCUGUCAUGGUUCAACACUAGCCUUUUGUAAAAAAUCUUUAAUAUUCCUUAAUAUUUGAAGAAAUACAAAACCAUGAUACUAAAGUCUAAACUGUAGGGUAAAUGUAGUUGUAUUAAUGGGAUGAAUUCAGUAAAGAAGGGAAGCGGCUCCCAGUCAUGAACAAAUCUAUUCAAACCUAAAUUGAAAAUCCCAUUCAAACCUAAAAAUUAGUAGGAAUUCCAUUUUUCAUAGUUAGAGACUUACUGAGUUUAUAUUUUUUAGCCUAUAACUUUCUUUUCAUAACUAUUAGAAGGGACUUUAAGUUUAUAAUUACUCAGGGGCAAGAAU